AGGGGAAAUAUGUACGGUUCAAUGAUUACGAUUAUUUGAGAAUGUAAUUCAAAUCUUGUUGGCUGUCUAUAAUAUUCCGAAAUCUGUGGAGGGUAUCGAUCAUCUACGUUAUACACAAUACGUCAAGUCUAGAAAACUGAAUACACUUGUGCAGUUAUCAAAUAUGCCACCAACUAGUGCAGCAGCCCAUCAAUAUUUCAAUCGUGUUCAUUAUCAAUUUUAAACUUGGUUAGGGCAUGAUUUGGAAACACACGAGUGAGGUUGGAUAAUACGUAACCAUUUCCUGUAACCCAUCACGACAAUUUCAGCACCUCUUCUGGAGAAAGUGCUCAACACAAUAUUCUGCAACUGUUUAGUUCGCGAUGUGGAUGCAGGGAAUCUGGUUUGUAGUGUUCUUUAGCAUGUGGCCAGUGUAAUGAGCAAGAUUGUCUCAGUGCUUUACUAUAUUAGAGCGAUGUCAAUGAGACCAGAACCUUUGUCUUCGGAAUUAUUAAAGGUCUGGAGACAAAGUCAUUGAAGACGAUUAAGAAGAGGACUUUGAAAUACUACAGGGGUCCGAAGACGGCGAUAAAGAAGAAGAAGAUGACUGAGAAUGGUGUAGUUCUUGUGUUUUAAUGAAUACAUCAAUUGAGAAUCAUUAUAAAUUACAUAACUGGGCGGGUGACUGUUGUUAAAAUAAAUUGAUACUUAAUGGAAAAUUGAGCAAAAUAAUUAUUGACUAUAAUGUAAUAGUUGAUAAGAAAUGGAGAUUAUUGAUAAUCAUGUAUUUAUCAAUGAUAAAUAAACGUCACAUGGCAUGUUUUUGACCGGGACUACCGGUUGACCUUGAAUGAUGCUUUUCCAAUUCAAUGUAUAUAAAUGUUUGAAACAAAAAUUGUAGGGAAUUUGGUCCUUUACAAUAUUGAUCAUGGAUACAAAUAGCAAAAAAUCCUCAGGAAAUGUGAUAAUUGCAAAAAAUAUGAAAUAAAUCGAUCUUUGUGACUUUUGACCUUAAAUUUUAAUAUAUCGUACCAUAUGUAGGUUCUGAGACAACUUUUAGUAUGUUUACAGGAGUUUAUAGCUGGGUAUCUGGAAUUCCGAGGUGAACUCACUAAAAUGACUGGACUGAAUAAAACAUUGGCAGAGGACAAAUAAUCUCGUUUGAUGAUCGAUGUCGAAGUUUGCCAAGAGUCAAAUUGUCAAAAAUAUUAAUUUCCGAAAAUAUUCAAUUUUUCAAAUUCAUAGCCUCAGUGCACCGCACUGUAUGGGUCGAUCUAAUAAAAGUUCAUUUACCUAAAUGAAGUUAUGAUAUUGGGCAAUUAGCGAUAAUGCAAUAAUGCUGAUUGGCGAUAUUAGACUUCGACCUAAAAUCGGGAACAAGAAUGUGUGGGCAUUGAUCAUUCGGUUGCCACCUUCUAAAGAUAACACAUCCAUCACCCCUGAAAAUGUACCUUCGUAUAUAAUUUUGUUUAAGCGUAACAUUGCUGAGGGUUAUGUAGAGGCGACGACAUCUCAUACGAAGACGUCACGAAUGUAAAUGAUAAACAUGGCUACCAAAAGCGAUCCAUUGCAAAUUUAGGCUUUGUCAACGAUCGCUGAAUGAAAUUUGUCCUCUGCCGCAUUCACUACAAGGCAACUAAGGCAAUAAUGAAAUUCAUUAAAAUAAAGGGGUGAUGGAUGUGUUAUCUCUAGAAGGUGGCAACCGGAUGAUCAAUGCCCACACAUUCUUGUUCCCGAGUUUAGGUUGCGGUACAAAAAUGUUUCAAUCAAUAAUGUCUCAAAUUAAUGUGUAUUUCCACAAUACAGUACGACAAAAACA
rnacentral:lncRNA from 1 species